rnacentral:rRNA from 1 species
CAGUAGCCGCGGGAAUACAGAGGGUGCGAGCGUUAAUCGGAUUUACUGGGCGUAAAGCGUGCGUAGGCGGCUAAUUGAGUCGGAUGUGAAAUCCCCGAGCUUAACUUGGGAAUUGCAUUCGAUACUGGUUAGCUAGAGUGUGGGAGAGGAUGGUAGAAUUCCAGGUGUAGCGGUGAAAUGCGUAGAGAUCUGGAGGAAUACCGAUGGCGAAGGCAGCCAUCUGGCCUAAUACUGACGCUGAGGUACGAAAGCAUGGGGAGCAAACAGGAUUAGAUACCCCGGUAGUCUCUGUCUCUUAUAC